AGCAGCCGCGGUAAUUCCAGCUCCAAUAGCGUAUAUUAAAGUUGUUGCAGUUAAAAAGCUCGUAGUUGAAUUUCGGGGUUCUACCGUUGGUCGGGCUUUGUCUGUACUGGCGUGUGGAAUUUCUACCUUCUGGGGAACCAUCAUGUUAUUAAUUUAACGUGGUGGGAAACCAGGACCUUUACCUUGAAAAAAUUAGAGUGUUCAAAGCAGGCUUAUGUCUGAAUACAUUAGCAUGGAAUAAUAAAAUAGGACGGUGGUCCUGUUUUGUUGGUUUCUGAAUCACCGUAAUGAUUAAUAGGGAUAGUUGGGG
rnacentral:rRNA from 1 species